GAUGAACGCUGGCGGCGUGCCUAAUACAUGCAAGUCGAGCGAACAGACGAGGAGCUUGCUCCUUUGACGUUAGCGGCGGACGGGUGAGUAACACGUAUGUAACCUACCUAUAAGACUGGGAUAACUUCGGGAAACCGGAUCUAAUACCGGAUAAUAUUUCGAACCGCGUGGUUCGAUAGUGAAAGAUGGCUUUGCUAUCACUUAUAGAUGGACCUGCGCCGUAUUAGCUAGUUGGUAAGGUAACGGCUUACCAAGGCAACGAUCCGUAGCCGACCUGAGAGGGUGAUCGGCCACACUGGAACUGAGACACGGUCCAGACUCCUACGGGAGGCAGCAGUAGGGAAUCUUCCGCAAUGGGCGAAAGCCUGACGGAGCAACGCCGCGUGAGUGAUGAAGGUCUUCGGAUCGUAAAACUCUGUUAUUAGGGAAGAACAAACGUGUAAGUAACUGUGCACGUCUUGACGGUACCUAAUCAGAAAGCCACGGCUAACUACGUG
rnacentral:rRNA from 1 species